rnacentral:rRNA from 1 species
CAUAGGUUAAUGAGGCGAACCGGGGGAACUGAAACAUCUAAGUACCCCGAGGAAAAGAAAUCAACCGAGAUUCCCCCAGUAGCGGCGAGCGAACGGGGAGCAGCCCAGAGCCUGAAUCAGUAUGUGUGUUAGUGGAAGCGUCUGGAAAGGCGCGCGAUACAGGGUGACAGCCCCGUACACAAAAAUGCACAUGCUGUGAGCUCGAUGAGUAGGGCGGGACACGUGGUAUCCUGUCUGAAUAUGGGGGGACCAUCCUCCAAGGCUAAAUACUCCUGACUGACCGAUAGUGAACCAGUACCGUGAGGGAAAGGCGAAAAGAACCCCGGCGAGGGGAGUGAAAAAGAACCUGAAACCGUGUACGUACAAGCAGUGGGAGCACGCUUAGGCGUGUGACUGCGUACCUUUUGUAUAAUGGGUCAGCGACUUAUAUUCUGUAGCAAGGUUAACCGAAUAGGGGAGCCGAAGGGAAACCGAGUCUUAACUGGGCGUUAAGUUGCAGGGUAUAGACCCGAAACCCGGUGAUCUAGCCAUGGGCAGGUUGAAGGUUGGGUAACACUAACUGGAGGACCGAACCGACUAAUGUUGAAAAAUUAGCGGAUGACUUGUGGCUGGGGGUGAAAGGCCAAUCAAACCGGGAGAUAGCUGGUUCUCCCCGAAAGCUAUUUAGGUAGCGCCUCGUGAAUUCAUCUCCGGGGGUAGAGCACUGUUUCGGCAAGGGGGUCAUCCCGACUUACCAACCCGAUGCAAACUGCGAAUACCGGAGAAUGUUAUCACGGGAGACACACGGCGGGUGCUAACGUCCGUCGUGAAGAGGGAAACAACCCAGACCGCCAGCUAAGGUCCCAAAGUCAUGGUUAAGUGGGAAACGAUGUGGGAAGGCCCAGACAGCCAGGAUGUUGGCUUAGAAGCAGCCAUCAUUUAAAGAAAGCGUAAUAGCUCACUGGUCGAGUCGGCCUGCGCGGAAGAUGUAACGGGGCUAAACCAUGCACCGAAGCUGCGGCAGCGACGCUGAUGCGUUGUUGGGUA